rnacentral:tRNA from 4 species
AGUAAGAUAAGCUAACUUAAGCUAUUGGGCCCAUACCCCAAAAAUGAAGGUUAAAACCCCUCUCCUACUA